CUCAAAGCCACAGUUGGUUCAUGUAGAUGUGU
rnacentral:piRNA from 1 species